UACGAAGGGGGCUAGCGUUGUCCGGAUUUAUUGGGCGUAAAGAGCUCGUAGGCGGCUCGGUAAGUCAGGUGUGAAAACUCUAGGCUCAACCUAGAGACGCCACCUGAUACUGCUGUGGCUAGAGUCCGGUAGGGGAGCAUGGAAUUCCUGGUGUAGCGGUGAAAUGCGCAGAUAUCAGGAGGAACACCAGUGGCGAAGGCGGUGCUCUGGGCCGGAACUGACGCUGAGGAGCGAAAGCGUGGGGAGCAAACAGG
rnacentral:rRNA from 1 species